AGUUCACAGGAAGUUGAGGCCCAGAGAGAGGAAGGGGCUGGUUUGAUGUCCCAUAUAGAGAGGUGGCACAGCCAGGGCUGGGUAUCCCAGUCCCGUGUCAUGUCCAGCAUUUUAGUGCAGACUCACAUGCACAUCAAAUGCACAACCAUGCAAUGACAGACAAGCAGCUCCACAGGAGGAGUGCACAACCAGAGGGGAGAGGAGAGAGGCUGGACAGCCUCUGUCCUCACCUCCUCAGUGGCCACGUGGUGACGGCUGGGUUUUUUAUUUUUUUCUCCCUAGAUGAGCUUCACAUCUCAGGUCUUCUGCUCAACUCAGGUACCAGCUGACACCCACCCAGUCCCUGGUGUUGCCUUCAGGAGCAGUGGCAAGAUGGGAGCUGGUUGGGGAAGGGGAUCCUAGAGCAGGGGGGAGGAGGAGAGAAUGGAAUGGCUGGACUUUGAGAUGAGAAGACAGUUGGAUGGGGAGGAGGCACCAUUUGCUGGAACUGAAGGGUUCUCAGUAGGGGCUCGAGGCAGGAUGUAUCUGUGAUAUCUGGACCUCUGGAGUCCCUUAAGCACAAGGAGGCAACUGUGUGGCAGUGAAGACAUUCUGCCUUGGGCCCAAGCCCAAGACAGGUCUCCCUGAGCCCUGGGCAGACCAUCCGACCUAUGGUCAUUGGAAGGACCCACCUGCUCCCUAUCCCGGGCCUGUGUAAACGCCAGGAAGUCAGGUCCCUUUCUCAAUGCAGGCCCUGACUGGGGCAGUCAGCACCAUUAAGUUCUUCCUCUCUGAGGCUUUCCUGGGUCAACACUUCAAGGCUGUGUAGUUGGAGGGCAGGGAGCCUGAGCCAGGAGACGUCUUCCUGUUCAGGCUGAUGCCCCCCACCUGACGCUGGUGCGGGGCCCACGUGGGCAUAUACUGUGGCCAUGGAGAGAUCAUCCACUUUGAGGGCAAGAACUCAGGAGGCUGUGGGCUCCUGGGAAGUUUCUGGGCUCCUGGAAAGGCAUCGUAUCCAAACAGGGGCAGCGCCCGCUGCUGCGCUCCUGCUGGCGCGUGCUGCGCAGAGUGAGCGAAGCGAUGGACGCGGACCCACCAUCCUAUCACUCCAUGCGCAGCAACUGUGUGCACUUUGCACUGUGUCUGCACUUUGCACUGUGUCUGCACUUUGCACUGUGUCUGCUCGUCCCAGGUCCCAGCCUGGACCCCCGGCAAAUAGACGGGAGCUCCAGCAGGUGUCAAUGGACGUGGACGUGUCCCCGGAUUAAGCAUGACCUUGGCCCUCCUGGGUGGACGUGGAGGCUUCAGAAAGAUUCAUUAAACUACUUUCCAAAGCUUAA
rnacentral:sRNA from 1 species